ACUAGGAAAAUGGAAUCUAACCCUUUGACUCCUACCACCUUGGUAUAGUUCACUCACAGCUACAAUCAAUUUAAUGAAGCUAUAAUCUAAUCAGAUCUCAUUCCAUUUGAUUUGGUCUAACUUUGAAUCUAUAACACCUGCUUGCGUAUCAUGAUCAUCCCUCACAUUAUUACUCAAUUAGCUUUCAAUAAUAUAUAUUUUAUUCUGCCAAGAAACUAAAAUUCAUUUUAAUGGGGCCAUUCCUUUAAGAUCCAAAGUCAAGAGUAAAUGGGCUAACUCCCUCCAUACUAGCACCUACAUCCAACACGUCCUCCCUAAGACUAUCGCUAGGCAACAUUAUCCUACAGAUUAUACCCAUGUGGGGUGCAACUACUCUGGCCCAGUGAGGAGGUAAUUCUUCUACCAUCAACUUGGAAGUGUGGGUUGGGAUUUGUUUGUGUACACGUCAAACAAACUGCAGGCAGCCGAAACAAUUACUGUCUAUCUCGAUCAAUGGACCAGCACCUAUUAGACAGGAAUUGAUUAAUUGGACCUGUCCUCAUACAAUCCUCUUGCUGUGAAUCUACUAGGGAACUUAAUUUGGAUUUCUAUUCUUUUUGCAACACUUUGUUGUGUAUCCUAUGCGAUUGAGAUCAGGUUGUUGAGAUUUCUUCUUUGUGGAUCACUUAAUUUGGGGAUUUAGUCAAGCUAUCUUGCAGGACAUCUGAAUUGCUGCAUUUCAGCAAUUAUUUCUAACUUUUGGAUAAGUAUCUGACCAACUACUCAGUCUACUGGACAUUUAUUUCCAUUUCAUUACUGACCACUCAACCAAGGAUGUAUGUAAAAAUAGGAGUUGUAGCCUGUAUUGUCUUGUUUUCAGUGAUUGGUUUGUGGAUGUCAGAGGUUGGUUUCUUCACAAUGUUUCUCAUAGCAACAAUGGUCUUCUCCGCUAUGUUGGUAGCCAUGGGUUUUGAUCAUGCCAUGAUAGCUUACAGCAAGACUCAUGUUUCACCAGACAGAAGAGCAUCAAGACUUCCAGACCUCAAUAAGGACCAGUAACCACAAGCAGUCCAUCCUUUUAGCUGUUGUUAGAGAUGUCUUCCAGGAAAGAUGGCUCCCAGCACCCCAAUUCAUCAACAAUUACUCUGUGACAUCCAUGAUAAAUGCCAUAGUAACAGUAUCUGUGGUUGUUCCUACAGCCUCAAAGCAUGACAUUCAAUUAUAAAUAUUCUGCAAAAUCUGCUCCAACAUCAAAAGCUCUGACCAAAGUUGAUGCUUACCAGAAAAGCAUCAGAGCCAAAGGAAGGACGAUGGAUUGACUGCCUUUGCAAAAGGGAUAUAGACAGUUUUGCUAUGUGGGAUCAUUUGUAGCCAUAUAGGCCUAGUAGAUAAUAUUUUGUGGAGUAAUUUUCAUAUCUUCCAGAAUGAUCACUUGUAGGUUAUGAACAUAUUUUGCUGGCAGAUAUAAGUGCUUACAGAUUUCUAUGCACUGGUAUAAGUAGAUCAUAUUGCAACAAAGAAAAUUCAUUUAGAGGAAUAUUUUUAAUAAUCAUGAUUAUGAUAAUCAUUAAGAAUCACAUGUUAUAUGAAUGCAUGAUGGUUGCACACACCAAAAUAAAGCUAGAAUGAAACCAGAAAAUAAAAAUUGCAAAUAUGCAAAACAGGAAACAAAAUCACAAACUUGGUCUACAAGUUUGAAAACUAAUCAAUAAAAUAUUUAUGUAUAUAGUAUUUGUAAAACGAAAUUCAGUCUUCCAGGAAAAUUUGGAAAGGGUGAGUAUAAAAUUGUGGGCUAAAAAUAUAACUUUGGCAGAAAGACUUAUUCCUAUCUCAUAGCAUGGAAAACUAUCACAAACAGUUGAAGUUUUUUUUUCUUCUUCUAGCAAACAGAUCCACAUUUCACUUAAUACAACAAUUUAGAAAAUGCAUUUUUGUGAUUUGUGACUGUUUUGCAAUAAAUUAGCAGCAAUGGUUUUUACUCACUGCUUUCUGCCCCCAAAAAUAUUAAAUAAAAAUGGGCAUUUAAAAUGUGUGAUUAUGACUUAUGAGGCAGUAUGAACAGAAAUGAGAGAACAUCCAAUAUUAAAUAUUGCUUUAAGAUGUUAUCAAUUCAAAAGAAGAAUAAGAUCAUACUAAUUUCUAAUUUUACUGAUAAUUUUUGAUGACAUUCUAUAAUUGCUUGUUUCAUGGUAAAUUUGAUUAAAAGAAGCAAUUCACCUUAUUCUAAACCAAAUAAGAUUUAUGAAAUAAUAAAAUUGAAAAAAAAUUAGAUACUUGGUCAAAGACAAUUCUGAUAUUCUAAUUAGUGCCAUUUUCUGUUUCCUUUGAUAACUAUUCUGGUAAUCUUCAGGAACUUAAGUAUAAUUGACAAAAACUCAAAAUGACUAACAGAGUUUUCUUUCUUUUACAUGCACACCAUCUAUGUUAAUUGUGAAUUCAUUACAAAAAAUGGUUUGUACAGGAUAACCAAAUUUACAGGAAAGAGUCAAGAAGAAAU